rnacentral:rRNA from 1 species
CACGUAGGGGGCAAGCGUUGUCCGGAUUUAUUGGGCGUAAAGAGCUCGUAGGCGGCUUAGUAAGUCGGGUGUGAAACCUCCAGGCUCAACCUGGAGACGCCACCCGAUACUGCUGUGGCUAGAGUCCGGUAGGGGAGCGUGGAAUUCCUGGUGUAGCGGUGAAAUGCGCAGAUAUCAGGAGGAACACCGGUGGCGAAGGCGGGUCUCUGGGCCAUUACUGACGCUGAGGAGCGAAAGCGUGGGGAGCGAACAGG